rnacentral:rRNA from 1 species
CUAAAGAACUGCAGUUAGUCUGCUUGAAUAUUCAGUAGGCAACGCUAUUAGUCUGCGCUGGGAGCGCCUCUACACGGAGGCCCACCAGCAGCCCAUGAAAUCUUCUAGGGUUCACAGAUCAAACAAUGGCGGCCGCAAUUCGUGGUUUAGAUAUGAUCGGCCCCAUCCGCUCCGCGGCUGGCGAAUAUGUGGAACCUGCGGAAGGAUCAUUA